rnacentral:lncRNA from 1 species
AAACGAAAGGUGGUAAAGUUUGGCACUAUAAAAAUAGCAUAUAUCAUUAGUUCAUGUAUACCAAUUUCUUGAACCUUUGAUCGUCUCUAAUAUUACCAUAUUUUAUAUUCUCCACCCGAGGUUAGAAAUGCAAGUCGGAAUAUGAGAAGGAAACAUAAGAUUUAAAAAUUAAUGCCUUAUUUCACCAAAUUAUUAAGCAAACAAUAGUGAUCAGAAU